rnacentral:rRNA from 1 species
UACGAGGGGAGCUAGCGUUGUUCGGAAUUACUUGGCGUAAAGCGCGCGUAGGCGGUUUUUUAAGUCAGAGGUGAAAGCCCGGGGCUCAACCCCGGAAUAGCCUUUGAAACUGGAAAACUAGAAUCUUGGAGAGGUCAGUGGAAUUCCGAGUGUAGAGGUGAAAUUCGUAGAUAUUCGGAAGAACACCAGUGGCGAAGGCGACUGACUGGACAAGUAUUGACGCUGAGGUGCGAAAGCGUGGGGAGCAAACAGG